rnacentral:miRNA from 1 species
AUUAGGGGCAACAUCUGGGCUA